GCGAACUCCUUCGGGAGUGGUAGCGGAGCGUUCCGUAAGCCUGCGAAGGGAUACUCGUGAGAGGUCCUGGAGGUAUCGGAAGUGCGAAUGCUGACAUGAGUAACGCGAAAAAGUGUGAGAGACACUUUCGCCGUAAGUCCAAGGGUUCCUGCGUAAAGCUAAUCUGCGCAGGGUCAGCCGGUCCCUAAGGCGAGGCCGAAAGGCGUAGUCGAUGGGAAUGAGGUAAAUAUUCCUCAGCCAGCGGGUGGUGACGGAUCUUUUCCGUCGUUCGGUCUUAUUGGAUUGACCGGGCGGCUUACGGGUCCCAGGAAAUAGCCCCCGCAUCAGACCGUACCCUAAACCGACACAGGUGGACUGGUAGAGUAUACCAAGGCGCUUGAGAGAACUACGUUGAAGGAACUCGGCAAAAUUACCUCCGUAACUUCGGAAUAAGGAGGCCUUGGCUGCACGCAAGUGCGGUCGAGGGGCACAGACCAGGG
rnacentral:rRNA from 1 species